UGCCAGCAGCCGCGGUAAUACGGGGGGGCAAGCGUUAUUCGGAAUUAUUGGGCGUAAAGCGCGCGUAGGCGGCUUGAUAAGUCAAAGGUGAAAUCCCUCGGCUCAACCGAGGAACUGCCUCUGAAACUAUCUCGCUUGAGGCCGGGAGGGGGUAGCGGAAUUCCCAGUGUAGCGGUGAAAUGCGUAGAUAUUGGGAGGAACACCGGUGGCGAAGGCGGCUACCUGGACCGGUUCUGACGCUGAGGCGCGAAAGCGUGGGGAGCAAACAGGAUUAGAUA
rnacentral:rRNA from 1 species